GGCCCCGCCCCCUCCCCUUCUCGAGAUCUAUCCCCCCACCAGCCCGCCCUGUGCGGCCGGGGGCGGGGGCCGGCUUCGAAUCAGGUAGGGGGAUCUGAACCCUUGACCUUGGUGUUAUCAACACUGCACUCCAACCAGCUGAGCCAACCAGCCAGCCUGGAGAGGGGAAUGUUUGAAUGCUCUGGACAUCUGAAGAAGAAGCAAGCUGGCCAGUAUGGGGAUCUGAACCCUCGACCAUGGUGUUACAACACCGCAUUCUAACCCACUGAGUCAACCAGCCAGCCUCGUUUGACUUUUUUAGAUUCCAUGUAUAAGUGAGGUCAUGUGGUAUUGUUAUGUGAAUUUGUAUGUGAAUCUCAUGUUAUGUGAGCUUUACCUCCAUUGAAAAGCAAAACAGAGCAAGUCACCAAGCUGUAAGUGUUUCCUCCUCCUGCUUUGGCUUUAGGGAUGCCCAGGUGUGCAUGUGGGGGGGCAGCACAGUGCAGGGAGGAGGAAAG